CGUAGGUGAACCUGCGGAAGGAUCAUUAUUGUAUAACCGAGGUGCGAGGGCUGUCGCUGACCCGAAAGGUCGUGCACGCCCGAGUGCCCUCACACACAUCCAUCUCACCCCUAAAUGCACCACCGCGUGGUUCCCCCUUUGGCUUGUUCGGAGGGGGGCUUACGUUUUCACACAAACUUUGUAUGCAGUGUAGAAUGUAUUUUUUGUUUUUGCGAUCACGCAAUCAAUACAACUUUCAACAACGGAUCUCUUGGCUCUC
rnacentral:misc_RNA from 1 species